rnacentral:rRNA from 1 species
UCGCUACUACCGAUUGAAUGGCUUAGUGAGCUGUGGGGACCGAGGUCUCGGUUGGGUUUCCUUCCGAGCGCCUUGCGGAACCACAUCAAACUUGAUCAUUUAGAGGAAGUAA